GCCACAAUAGCUUAAAUGGGAAAGCACCCCGUUAAGGAUGGGGGAAUAUGUCGGUUCGAGCCUGGCUUGUGGUG
rnacentral:tRNA from 1 species